rnacentral:pre_miRNA from 1 species
CAUCUACUCCUUCCAUCCGGAAAUACUUGUCAUCAAAAUGAAUAAAAGUGGAUGUAUCUAAAUGUAUUUUAGUUUUAGAUAUAUCCUUUUUUGUCCAUUUUGAUGACAAAUAUUUUCGGACGAAGGGAGUAUUAU